GACAACCGUGUAUAAAUCAUCAUAAGUAAAUAGAGGCUUCAUGAGUAGAUGUCCUCAUAUAAGAUAAAGUUUUUGUCUAACACAGAGUAGCUGUGAAUGAAUUAUGUAUGAGAACUUCAUUAAUGUUUAUUGUUUCCCUUGUACUGUCAGAAAUGUGAAUAAACACCUAAGCCAAUCAGAUGAAGAGCCAGAAACAUGUCCAAAAACAUAGACAUUAGGCUAACUCGCAAUUGGUGAAAAAAGAAACGGUAUGAGGUGUAAUUGUUCACAUAUUGGCUUCCACUUGUGAAUUUUGCAGAAUCUACAUGUAGAAUGUCCAAUGCAAUAAUGACUAUUCCAAUAAAGUAUUAUAUUAGUUUAGACACCAAGAGACUCCAUCUGACAGCAGAUCUCCACUUGUGAAUUUUGCUUAAUUUAACACACACAAGGCCAAUAUUCCAGUCCACUUUUAUAACUCUUUCAACCUUACACAUACCACAAAAAAUAGGCUAGGAUUAUCCCGCCUAUAUUGAUGAACAAGAAUUAAAAAUAUUCUCUCUUCUGGCAACUCAUUUUGCUUAUUCAUGUCCAACAAACAAGAGAGCUUCCUCUUGCAGUUAGUUUCAGGAAUGGUUUCAAACAUGACCCCUAGACUUUUCUUAUACUUUGUGAACUUCCUCCACAUUUCACUACUGUUAUUGAGGGGAUUCAUGGCAUACUUUUAUUACAAAGCCAGUUUAGUACUUAAUGAGUUGUUUCUUUAUGGGUAAUAGAACACUCAUGUUUUGGAAAAAGAAAAUAUCCUCCACUGAAUUGCAGUUUAACUUGGACAAUACUUUGUGGUCCUUGCUCUUUGUUUCAUGGUUCAUUUUUCCUUCUUCUUUUACCAGUAUUCUGUUACUCUCCCUUCUUCUAUCUCUUUCUCUGCGUGCAUGCUUACAUUAAAGGAUGGUCACUGCACUACCCCACCAAAUUAGUUUUUUUCUCCAUUCCAACCCAAGUUGAACUAUAUGCUUGUUUUCUAGAUUG
rnacentral:misc_RNA from 1 species